rfam:Ictidomys tridecemlineatus contig021701, whole genome shotgun sequence.
GGCAGUAUGGAUCAGUGGUAGAGUGUUUGCCUAGCAUGCAAGAGGUCCUUGGUUUAAUCCCCAAUAAUGCCA